rnacentral:lncRNA from 1 species
UGUUGUUGAUUUAGAUGUCAUUGAUUAUUUGAGCAAAGAUGUUUUUUAUAUGAAUCAAGAUGAUAUUCUGAACAAUAAUCUUUGCAGGGAAGAGAGCCAGAAAGAGCCAGAACUGAAAAAAACUGACUGUUGCAUCCAACAGGUGGACUGCAAACAUGCGCAGAACAAAGGAGAGCCAAUCGCACCUCUUCAGAUCAGCCUUGCGCAGACUGAAACCACCACCUUUCGGCCGCCGAACUCCACCACCUUUCGGCCGCCGAACCUCUCACCACAGCUUCCAUCGCAUGAAACCCCUUCCAGUCAUCCCU